CCUCACCGCUCCAAGUCGAAGACGUGUGUUCUUCGCCUAGAAUCAUAUGCAUAUUUACGUUGCGCUGCGGAAAGCAACACGCAUCGACGUACGUACGUUUUACUCGCUUACUUUCACGAGGAAUGACUCAGGGGCUCUGCGCCCCUGCGAUGAUUGCGGUUUGAGAUCAGGGGUGUGAGGGGCGGUGCGAAAAGCGUGCUGAUUCUCGCAUACAUUGCGCAGGACGUCGGCGCCUUAGCGUUACGACCACCCCCUGACCGAUUCGGUCGUUGUUUGCUAGCUCCAUAUCGCGAACGUCCGCGUGGAGAGAAGACGGACGGAUCGCGUCGUUGUUUCGUUCUUUCGUAUGUGAAAAAGCACUCGCGUUUUUCUCUGAUUUAUUUUUAACUAAGUAAAAGGAAAAAGGUUUUCCCUUCGAUAGGAUCGAUCGAAGUUGCACAUCGAAAAUAUAUAAAUCUUAUGCAAGAAGGAAAUAAGAAGAAGUUGAAAAGAAUCGAAUUAAGAAGCAGUGUGCCUCUAUUCCCAUGAACCCGUGGUGAGGAGGAGUGGUGCUGGUGAUAGUGGUGGUGGUUGCGGUAAAACGUGUCCACGAACUCUUGCCCUCCUCCUCCUCCUUCUCCUCCUCCUUGACUCCCCCUAGGAGCCGGUACAACAGGACGUUAAGAGACGAGGGUGAACAAAAGGGUCGUUUUCUGGGUUCGUCAAUACUCGAACAAGAUUUUCUCAUUCUCGUCUGGUAUUUUUCAUAUUUCUUGGCUGGUGGAAUUGUGUGGCCGUAGUGAAACGUGUGCAGAUAUGCGCGUGCUAUCGAUCACGCGACCCGAUUGCGCGGAUAUGUGAUACCGGAAGUAGGUACGGCAGGCUUGACCUGCGUGCAGGUGCUCCACAGUGCGUGCCACGUAUGCGUACAUACAUAGGGGCGAGCAGCGACAGAGUAGAGAAGGGUGCGCGAGAAGAGGCCGCGUGUCAGGGCCAGUCGUGAAGAUGCACGCCACCGACGCCGUCGACGUGACGGCGUCCCUGCCGUCAUCCACGUCCUCCGUGGCCGCCUCGAGGAGCUUCGGGCAUGAAGUCAGGCUCGUCUUCGUCCUGCUCGUGUCCUGCUGGAUCGUCCAGGAUCGGCUAGUGCUCGGGAUGUCCGAGCCACCGGAGCUAACCACGAUUGAAGACUUAACCGACAGAGGGACGAAGAAGUUUGGCGAUGAUUGCGUGGAAGAUCGUGAAUGCAGUUUCUCUGGCUCUUAUUGCGAGCCAAAAAAGAACAAAUGUUCGUGCAGGGAGGAAUUCGAGGCGACGAAUCAUAUCGACAAAUGUGGACACCCGGUGAACGUGAACGAGUCAUGCUUUUUCCAUGAGCAAUGUGAAGCGAGAGUGAGUCAAACCGAAUGCAGGGACAAUCGUUGCAUUUGCAUCUUCGAGAAGAUCCCGGUUACGCAGCCUGACGGCAUGAUUGUGUGUGUCGCUGAGCAAAAAGAAGAACCCAAUCUUCAAUAUAUCGAUCCGACGAUGAUUGGUGUUCUCGUUGGUAUGGCCCUCAUGUUCAUCAUCAUCUGCGUCGUUCUUAGGCUUUUCAGCAAAGCUCGUUGGCGCGAAAAUCGUACAAUUUUUAACACCCCGAACGCCCGUCUAAUGAACGUAUCGUUACUAAGAGAGAAUAAGCUCCUGCAUCCGCAGGAAAGACGCGGUUCAAGGGCAAGCGUACGAGUUCCUUCGAGGCAACCCUCGAUGGCCUCCUUACGUGCCCAUUCGCCGAAUGCCUCGCAAGGUGCGAAACACUCUCAGCACUCACAGCACAGAGUGAGCCUCGAUCAUCUAUAGCAGUAGUCUGUUUAAUGAUCCCGUCUGUGACCGUUGUUCUUGAUUAUCUUAUAUACUGCGGAUUAUAUACUACGGACCUAUGAGGUGCUCUAUUGUAAAAAACUUUUCAAAUUGACGCGUCCUUCGAAGAGGGGUCACGAACAGGAUCACGACGGGGAAGUCGCGGUAGCAGUGGGAAUGCGUCAGCCGUCUCAACGAAAUCGAACAAAUCGCCACCUAAUCAGCCAAAUACCAUGUCUGAAACUAUUCAUUCGGAAAAUGUCACCGUUGAAAUUCUCGAGGCUAAAGCGUAGAUCCACUGGAAAUCCACGGCCAUCGUUGCUACGCCUUUCUCUUUCCAAUGACGGUUGUGAAGUCGCCCUAAAGAAAGAAUCGUCUAGACGUCUUCAAAGCAACUUUACGCAAUCUCUUUUUCAGAAUGUACAAAUUUCUAUUCACAUAAAUCCCUUUUCUCUUUUUUAUUCGAAAAGAUUCGCUCGUCUUACGUCUACUACUUUGGUACAAAGAAUUUUUCUGAUUGACAUGCGUUUACAUAUAACUUAUCCGGCCAUUUGUUAUCAUUAUCGAUUAUAAAUCAAAGUUUAAUGUGAAGAAAAUAGAUUAUGCCAGAAAUACUUAGUUUGAGAAUUUUAGGAAAUAAGAGAAAUUAUAUUAUAAUUCGUACUGAUUGUAAGAUAAUCACUGUUUAAUUUUUAUGUUUAAAAGAUGUUAAAUUCGAUAAAGAAUUAACGGAUAUAUUCGCGAUAUUGAUAUUAAAAUCAAACAAACAUAUUUUAUGUCACGAAAAGAAUCUAAUAUUCGAAAUAUUUUACACAAAAAAAAAAUAGAUAAUCACUUUAUAUCGAAAAA